rnacentral:rRNA from 1 species
GAUGAACGCUGGCGGCGUGCCUAAUACAUGCAAGUCGAGCGAACGGACGAGAAGCUUGCUUCUCUGAUGUUAGCGGCGGACGGGUGAGUAACACGUGGAUAACCUACCUAUAAGACUGGGAUAACUUCGGGAAACCGGAGCUAAUACCGGAUGAUAUUUUGAACCGCAUGGUUCAAAAGUGAAAGACGGUCUUGCUGUCACUUAUAGAUGGAUCCGCGCUGCAUUAGCUAGUUGGUAAGGUAACGGCUUACCAAGGCAACGAUGCAUAGCCGACCUGAGAGGGUGAUCGGCCACACUGGAACUGAGACACGGUCCAGACUCCUACGGGAGGCAGCAGUAGGGAAUCGUCCGCAAUGGGCGAAAGCCUGACGGAGCAACGCCGCGUGAGUGAUGAAGGUCGUCGGAUCGUAAAACUCUGUUAUUAGGGAAGAACAUAUGUGUAAGUAACUGGGCACAUCUUGACGGUACCUAAUCAGAAAGCCACGGCUAACUACG